CGAGACCUGUAAAUCAAUGUUUCUGAACUUGAGGUUGUUCGGAUAUGGAUUCUCGGAACCAGUUGAUUAAAUUGUUUUGAAAUGUAUUGUUCCGAUUUGGAUGGGUCGAGAAGUUGGUUGUGGUAGGCAGCAGUUCUGAACUAGCUUUGUCUGUUAGGGUUGCGAAACCUUUUUUCGCAGCGGUGGAUUCAGUGUAGUGGAUGGUAAAACCCGAAUGGUAUAUAUGCCGUCCUUAUGUACGUGGUUGUGUGAGCGUGGAUGUUAUGUGUGUGGUUUACGCGCUUGAUUAUUUGGUUAGAGGUAUGCGAGGUAUUUGCAAUUGGAGAGACUUAUUUGGGAAAUCAGAGGAUGCUUUUGUUAAGAAAAUCAAUAAAGACACAUAAUUGCAUAGUGGAAGUGAUACAUUGUUCUCUACUAGAGCAUUGAAAUAAGUGAAACACUGGAUCUACGCAUUAGAUCUAAUACUCUGUAGGACAUCAAGAAUCUCACAAAUAUCUGUCUUGAGGUCGAGAAGAUCUUGCUUAAGUUGUGUCAUGUCUUGUUGGAGAGUGGCUUGUUUAUCUGCCAGCAUUCCCAACUCUUCGGAGU
rnacentral:lncRNA from 1 species